rnacentral:rRNA from 1 species
UAAGAACGCUGGCGGUAGGCCUACACAUGCAGUCCAACGGCCCCACAGGAGAGCUUGCUCUCUGGGUGGCGAGUGUCGGACGGGUGAGGAAUACAUCGGAAUCUACUUUUUCGUGGGGGAUAACGUAGGGAAACUUACGCUAAUACCGCAUACGACCUACAGGUGAAAGCCCGGGAUCUUCUGACCUUGCGCGAUUGAAUGAGCCGAUGUCGGAUUAGCUAGUUGGCGGGGUAAAGGCCCACCAAGGCGACGAUCCGUAGCUGGUCUGAGAGGAUGAUCAGCCACACUGGAACUGAGACACGGUCCAAACUCCUACGGGAGGCAGCACUGGGGAAUAUUGGACAAUGGGCGCAAGCCUGAUCCAGCCAUACCGCGUGGGUGAAGAAGGCCUUCCGGUUGUAAAGCCCUUUUGUUGGGAAAGAAAUCCAGCUGGUUAAUACCCGGUUGGGAUGACGGUACCCAAAGAAUAAACACCGGGUAACUUCGUGCCAGCAGCCGCGAUAAUACGAAGGGUGCAAACGUUACUCAGAAUAACUGGGCGUAAAGCGUGCAUAGGUGGUCGUUUAAGUCCGUUGUGAAAGCCCUGAGCUCAACCUGUGAACUGCAAAUGAUACUAUGUCACUAGAACGUGGUAGAGGAUAGCGGAAUUACUGGUGUAUCAUGAAAUGAGUAGAGAUCACGUGGAGCAUCAAUGGCGAAAGGAGCUCCGGGACCAACACUGAAACGAUGACGAAAG